rnacentral:lncRNA from 1 species
CUGUCAUUGCACCAUCUCCUUGUGGGGGCAAAUGUGUCAGUGUUGGAGGCAGAGGACACAGGUUCUAGUCUCAGCCCCUCCAAUUAUGAGUGACAGGCUCCACACGAGGCCUGGGCAUACUGAGUGCUAACCUAGACCAGUUCUUGGUGUUCCCAUAAUCAUUAUGAGCUGUGGGACUUCGGGCAAGACAGUGAACCUCUCUGAGCCUCAAUUUCCUUAUUGGGAAAAUAGAGAAGACAUUCAUGACAACGCUUUGUAAAGUGCCAUAGAAAUGUACAGCAGAGGUUAAAUGAUUAGACAUCAGCUUAUGUUUCCUUGCUUUAUUUUUUAGGAAAAUAGUAAUCUUUGGGACUUAAAAAAAAUUCCUUCCUGCAAUAUACGAAUUCAGUAAGGACAGAAUCGUAGGCAUUGAGAUGGAGGCGGCAUACUCACAGGAAAGGCUGGCUGGGGCUUUUGUCCCCUAAUUGAUCUAAUGUGCUAAGUGGGCUUAAUGUAAGUUAAUUAAUGAUACUAUUGGUGGGUGGAAUACCUAGGCAGAGCCUCAAACAGCAUCAAAGGAACGAGCAGGCAGGUGUCAUCCAGGAUAAUUGAGGCAUGCAGGCAGUCACUAGGCAGGCUAGGAGGAGGGUGAGGGGAAACUGAGCCCAGCUGAGGGGCUGAGCCACUUAAGCAGCAAGGCUGUCUGCCAAACACCAUCCUGUUUACAGCUCCUGUAUUUGAAUUUCAGAUUUGCUUGAGUCUUUGAAGCUGGGUUCCUGGGCAUUUCCUUGAGAAUAAAUUCUAUUCUUUGGAAACCACAAAACGCACUCACUUGGACCCAGAAAGGAGCGUCAGGUAACCCAGCUUCCAUCUGUGGGCCUAUGAGACCUGAGGAACUUUGACUAGAAGAGGCUCCCCAUUUAACAGAGGCAAGUAGGUUUUGCGCUCCGUGAGAUGGGGUAAGACCAGGUCUGUCUGCACUCCGGAGCAAUGUUGGGCUGCCGCCCAAUGGCAGGCACUGGGCUAGGCAAGAGGGUACCAUGAUGCCUGAGAAACAAAGAUGAGCCCCUGACAUGUCUGUGCUUCACAAAUGUGUAUGCCCAACAAAAUGAAAGUCCAGCUCACAAAAGCAAGAAACCAGGUAGUGGCCAGGGAGUGAAAAUCAAGCAUUUCAGGGAAAGUGUAUUUACUUUUUCCUCCCAAAGACUGGUCCUUCCAAGAUUAUCCUCCAACUGUGCUGUCACAAAUUAAUCCUCCCACAGCACAGCCUGGCCCACUUAGGGAUGGGGAGGGGUACAGUGGAGACCCCCGGCCAAUCGCCACCAGGAUCGCCAAACUUUCCCAGCCGUGAAGGGUACACGUGGACUGUCAUCGGAACGAACGCUUAUUUCCAAGCCUUGACCAGAGUCACUCUCUUUUUGGUGGCCUCUGUCAAAAUGUAUCUUUAAAGGUUUUAAGUGGCUAUGACUUACAAAUCUCAGAGUAUUAAGCCAGGCAAGAAACAUUCUCUAUUUUAGAUGCCUGGAUCCCUUUUUUCCUUCAGUCUAUUAUGGCUCUUCACUUCUUUGUUACACUUUCACUCUUGCUUAGAAAGUGUCUCAAAAAUGCCACUUGAGAGCCACAGAGCAGUGGCCUGGGGACUGGGGAAGAGGACGGUGGUGCUCCUGUCUCUCCGUACGUCUCCUCACAUGCGUGUACCCCUGGCUGUGUGGGAUUGCCCACUGACCGGCAUCUGCCCUGCUUGUUGAUUUUAACUGUCCCUCUUGUUGCUGACCCAGCACAACAUGGGCAGGGAAACCCAGUGGGAACCUCGCCUGCUGACCUCCCUGCCCAGCCACCCGCUUCUCCCUGAGCUGACAUCUCAAAGCUUGGCUGCUGCAGGAGGCUGGGAAUCAGAGCCGACUGAAUCAGAGCCGACUCCUGUCUAGGAGCCCAACCCACCCCACGGUCUGUCAGAGUGUUGAGAGGAACCUCUUGGCUGGAAAUGAAAACCUCAAUCAUCACAAAUAGCUUCCCUUGCAGUUAGAUGUUGCCGCGUGCUUCAGAACUGUCC